UAGCAUAUCAAUAAGCGGAGGAAAAGAAACCCACCGGGGAUUGCCCUAGUAACGGCGAGUGAAGCGGCAAGAGCUCAAAUUUGAAAGCUGGCUCCUUCGGGGUCCGCAUUGUAAUUUGCAGAGGAUGCUUCGGGAGCGGUCCCCAUCUAAGUGCCCUGGAACGGGCCGUCAUAGAGGGUGAGAAUCCCGUAUGGGAUGGGGUGCCCGCGCCCGUGUGAAGCUCCUUCGACGAGUCGAGUUGUUUGGGAAUGCAGCUCUAAUUGGGUGGUAAAUUUCAUCUAAAGCUAAAUAUUGGCCGGAGACCGAUAGCGCACAAGUAGAGUGAUCGAAAGAUGAAAAGCACUUUGAAAAGAGAGUUAAACAGCACGUGAAAUUGUUGAAAGGGAAGCGCUUGCGAUCAGACUCGCUCGCGGGGUUCAGCCGGCCUUCGGGCCGGUGUACUUCCCCGCGGGCGGGCCAGCGUCGGUUUGGGCGGCCGGUCAAAGGCCCCUGGAAUGUAACGCCUCUCGGGGCGUCUUAUAGCCAGGGGUGCCAUGCGGCCUGCCCGGACCGAGGAACGCGCUUCGGCUCGGACGCUGGCAUAAUGGUCGUAAGCGACCCGUCUUGAAACACGGACCAAGGAGUCUAACAUCUACGCGAGUGUUCGGGUGUCAAACCCGUGCGCGCAGUGAAAGCGAACGGAGGUGGGAACCCCUCGGGGUGCACCAUCGACCGAUCCUGAUGUUUUUGGAUGGAUUUGAGUAAGAGCGUAGCUGUUGGGACCCGAAAGAUGGUGAACUAUGCCUGAAUAGGGCGAAGCCAGAGGAAACUCUGGUGGAGGCUCGCAGCGGUUUUGACGUGCAAAUCGAUCGUCAAAUUUGGGUAUAGGGGCGAAAGACUAAUCGAACCAUCUAGUAGCUGGUUCCUGCGA
rnacentral:rRNA from 1 species